rnacentral:lncRNA from 1 species
CCGGAACAGCCCAUCGUGGGCCCUUUACCCUCAGCAGGUGGAUGCUGUUUGUCCUGCCAGGGCAGGUGUGUGCUUGUCUCAGAGCAUUUGGGAACAAUGAGCCUCUCUGUCCAGGUCUCCCUGUGUUCAAGUCCUCAGGAAGGAGCCCACUCCUGGUCCAGGGCAGGGACUCUAGAGACUAGGGCAGGGGUGGGACCACUGGGUUUAGCCUCUUGUCUCAGGGAGCAACGGUGGAAUGGGGCUUACCUGUCUGGCCAGCAUUUGGGGGUCUGGUGGGAGCCGUUCGGGUGUUCUCUGGAGCUCUCGGAUGCAGCACAGCCUUUGGAUGACUUUGUCUUGCAGGAUGGAGAUGGAUGAGGACCCGGAUAUCCUGCCCACCCAGGGACAAGGCAACAUCAUCAUUACUAAGUAUGGGGACGCUGAGCUGGGGCAGCAGUGGACAUGGAGCAUGAGCAUGUUGACAUCUGGAAAUUCGCCGGUCGCCUCUGGGUUAUGUGUGAGACAGAGCUGCCCAUGUCAAUGCCCUGAAGGUGAAGCAAAGAUGUCAGGAAAUAAAAUGCACUGCCAAGUGGCUGAAAAUACUCGGAGACUGGACAAAUAUAAGAACAGCAGGAAGGUAACAUAA